ensembl:snoRNA
CCUGAGAUGAAAGUCACAUCCUGACGUGGUUCCUUGUCCUGGUGUGCCAGAGUUCUCAAAAAGGAUCUGCUGGUCUUGAUUUACAGGUGGGGGCCGUCAGUGCCCCUAUAUGCUGCCCAGGUCAGAAACAUGU